rnacentral:rRNA from 1 species
AUGAAGGCCAACUGGAUCAUCCUCAUCCACCACACUGGUAGUCCAUGGCGUCUCGUGGAUAUCUACACCCAGCGAGAGAUCACCCUUCCAUCGUUGGAUACCGCCGACAUCGAGCCUCGCGGCCCGCCGGACACUCCUGCCUACUACGCACGAGACGCUAGACGCAAAUGCGCUGGCCUUCAUGAUUCCAGGACCUGGAAUCAUACCAGCCGAUGGGUGCUGAGAUUCAUCGACACAGCUUGUUGCCAGUCGAAGAAGGAUUGGCCGGUGCUGCCGGCUGGCGUCAAGUUCGAUCCCACGGAUCAGGAGCUGAUCGAGCACCUUGAGGCCAAAGUGAGUGUUGACAGCGCGAGAUUUCAGUCUCUCAUCGAUUUGUUCAUACUAACCAUCGACAGCGAGCACGACAUAUGCUACACCCAACCUGAGAAACUUCCAGGUAUCACACUGAGUGGCCUAAGGAAGCAUUUCUUCCAGCGCAAUUCCAGGGCGUUCAAAAGGGGCACGUGGACGCAUCGCAAGAUACAACGGGCAGCAAAAAAGGUUCUGGUGCUGCACACCAACAAGAACUUCGACCAGCAGAGGACCAACUGGGUGAUGCACCAGUACCACAUCGGGGACCUGGAGACGGAGAAGGAGCGGGAGCUAGUCCUCUGCAAGAUUUUCUACCAGACGAACACUAGGGCCAGGAGUAGUUUGGUAUUCGUAGUUGUACUACCUUGUCGUCCGCAAGUUGGUAUUGUUGUUAACGAUCUUUUGGUCGAGCAAGUUUCAACUGGGCUAUAG